rnacentral:rRNA from 1 species
UCAUGGCUCAGGACGAACGCUGGCGGCGUGCCUAAUACAUGCAAGUCGAGCGGACAGAUGGGAGCUUGCUCCCUGAUGUUAGCGGCGGACGGGUGAGUAACACGUGGGUAACCUGCCUGUAAGACUGGGAUAACUCCGGGAAACCGGGGCUAAUACCGGAUGGUUGUUUGAACCGCAUGGUUCAAACAUAAAAGGUGGCUUCGGCUACCACUUACAGAUGGACCCGCGGCGCAUUAGCUAGUUGGUGAGGUAACGGCUCACCAAGGCGACGAUGCGUAGCCGACCUGAGAGGGUGAUCGGCCACACUGGGACUGAGACACGGCCCAGACUCCUACGGGAGGCAGCAGUAGGGAAUCUUCCGCAAUGGACGAAAGUCUGACGGAGCAACGCCGCGUGAGUGAUGAAGGUUUUCGGAUCGUAAAGCUCUGUUGUUAGGGAAGAACAAGUACCGUUCGAAUAGGGCGGUACCUUGACGGUACCUAACCAGAAAGCCACGGCUAACUACGUGCCAGCAGCCGCGGUAAUACGUAGGUGGCAAGCGUUGUCCGGAAUUAUUGGGCGUAAAGGGCUCGCAGGCGGUUUSUUAAGUCUGAUGUGAAAGCCCCCGGCUCAACCGGGGAGGGUCAUUGGAAACUGGGGAACUUGAGUGCAGAAGAGGAGAGUGGAAUUCCACGUGUAGCGGUGAAAUGCGUAGAGAUGUGGAGGAACACCAGUGGCGAAGG